CUGCCUCUCAAACAGACGUAAUCUGUGGAUCAGAGGAGCAGGCGCUCAGUCGGUGGAGAGUUGGUCUCGGACGGAAGUGAUGAGAGUGAAAAUACCCACUGUGGCACACUUGAAGAAAUCCUCAUCAGUCCAGCUCGACGGGACCGUGCAUCCUGUUGUUUUACAAGCAGCGGGUGAAGGGAAAUGUUGUUUUCACAUUGUGCCUCCUGCUUGUGACUCCGUGAAGAUCAUUUCCAUCAGAUGCUGUUCCGGACAAUUUUGAAGUGAAGAUGAAAGAAGGACCUGCGAUUAAUGAGGUGGUGGUGAUGCAGUACAGCACAUCCUCUCAGUUUAUGUUCCAGCUUAAACACGCAUGAUCAUGUAUAACAUAACCAGAACCACGUUUGCCCUGUGGACAGUGGACUCAUUCUGUCGUUGUCCUGUUGCAUUACAUCCCUCUGCUGUGCGACCUGGCCUCUGGGGUUUGAAUCACGUCCUCGGCUCUGUCCCUGUCCCCUGCCUGUCUGACUUGUCUGUUCUCCCCCCGCUACGCCCUGCCUCGUCUUGUCAGCUCGGCUCACGGUCACAGUCCUGCUUGCC